AUUUCCCCUGUGGAAAUGUGACAGCGAUCCCACGGGAGUGUCUGCUGAGGUUCACCUGCAGACAACCCAGCUGCUCUGUGAACCCUGCCCUGCCUGAGGGUGUUCUUGUAGCUCAGGUGGCCAAAGUCAUGCUCUGUCUGGUCUAACUCUGGAUUUGUGAGGCAGGUGGGAGGUCAAGAGAGGCCCUGCCUUGCACCUGGAUAUCAGGGCCAGUACCUGUCUGUGAGAAGCAUUCCUGUUUGAAAUGCAAGGGCAGUGAGAAAUCCCAGCACUCUGCUCCUGAGAAAGCUGUUCUGGAGGCCAGCAGAUGGGAAAUGCCAUGACCAGGAGGAAAAUGAAUGAGGACAUGGUGGCAGUGUCUCAGUGGGCUGCUGUGACAAUGAGCUGCACCUCCAUCUGAUGCUCUGAUGAAUCUUCCAGGGAAUAUUGUCCAGAGUUGUUGGACUGUGGGCUAAGCACCAACAACCUGAGCUGCCUGUAGUCCUGACCCAGCAAUGGAACACUGACAUUCUGGUCCAUUGCCAUGGCCCCGGAUCUGAUUACAUGGCAUGUACACAUCAUGUUGGCAAACAAGCUAGAUGUAUCCUUUUAUUAAAGGUCCAUCCCCACUGGACAUCUCUCACAGCAAAAUAGUUGCUUUGUACCAGCAAACAGCCUGUGUGAAUCUUGAGCGUUCUCUGGUUUCCAUGGAAAUCUGCCAGCCCAGCAGUGGGUCUGGAAGACCAGCAGGGAAAAAGUUAAUACAAUUGAAUGCAGAGAAGAAAAAGCAUUGAACUUUUCAGUGGUAUUUUUCUGUUUCAUUUUUUCAAAUGCAAGUGCUUAAAACGAUAUAUUUAUAACAGCUGGAGGAGUUUUAUAGUGCUGUAAAAUGCGGAGUUUUACAG